CCUCGGCGGGGCUGAAUGAUCAAAACUGGUGGUGAGAAUUUUUCCGGGCCGUUUCUAGGCAGCCCUCCCCCUCCACCAGCUCGGGCCCCCCCUUCCUCCUUCUCCUCCCUUUUCCUCCCCCCUCCUCCAGCGUCUGGGCUGAGUGAUCAAAAUAGAGGAAGAUGGUUGUCGCCGCAAUCCAGGGCUUUGCAAGGCGCGGUUUAAUGGGCCGGCUGUCAGCUUCCUGCUCGCAGGAGGAGGUGACAAGCCGAGCGAGCCGGGAAGGGCCUGGGGCCCGGCGGACUGCACCCAGUGCCCACGCCCCGGCCCCCCACCUCCCCUGGGUGCGCCUCUAGAACGCGCGGUGGAGACGCCAAAACAGACAAGGGCUGCUUUUUCUUUUUUCUUUCUUUUUUUUUUUUUUUCCUUUUCCUUCCUUUUAAAACAAAGCAGCGAUUCAUUCCCUCUCCCCCAGGAGCGCAGUCGGGUGGGAUGGGCAGGCGAGAAGGCCGUUUUCCUUGUCCCGGCCUGCGGGUCCCUCCCUGAAAAGCAGUGUCAGAUGGUUACUGAUUAAUAUUUUGGAGAGGCCGCGGCGGCGGGCAGCGGGAUAAAUUUGAGGAAAAAAGUUCGGCCUCAGGAGGGCAGUUUCAAGUUGCCCUUCUUGGAUCCUCCUGCGCUGGUUUCUAGGCUGCCCUCUUUUGGAAGCUGGAGCUCCGCGGGGGAGGAGGGAGGAGUGAAGAGAGAAAGGAACGAAAAUAGCCGGAGCCAAGGGGAACGAGCUGCGGUGUCCGCGCUUGGAGCUGGGCGUGCGGGUCUCAGUGGCAACCGGGGCGGCGGGAGAUGCCCGGUGCAGCCCCAGGACGGCCAGAAGCAAAGACCGAAAGGAGAGGGGGGUUAGAGAAAGGAGGUAUUGUGUCUGUGUGCCUUAGGGGAGGGGGGCGACUGCAGAAAUAAAAUAAAUGCAGUUGAGCUGCGCGGGACUGCUGGAAGCCAGAGCAAGGGAAGGGGCCGUGUGUGGGGGCGCCCAGCGCCCUUGAGUCUUAUCCUGAGGCCUUUGUGGGUUCCCAGUAAGCCCUCCCACGCCCGAGUCCCCAGCGCUUCCCCCGCCCCCAUCGCCCUCCAAUAUUAGGAGUGCAGGCCCUGAUUCCCCCACCCUCUUAGCCCGCCCGGGAUCUGGAAUAGUUUUAUUUUAAUAUAGCUCAAGAAAAAAAUAUGUAUCUUGCGAGAGUUGGGGUGGGGAAUAAUACAAAAGACUUGCGGGGUGGAAAAAAACAAAGGCCUAUUUUUAUAAAUGUUUAAUGUUUUCACCCCUGGAUGCUCCAAGACGCCGUAAUUGUGACGGCGGGGUAUGUGUGCCAUAAAUCAUUUAGUUGCUAAUAAAAAUUCUGCCUGUUUGCCCUGGA